rnacentral:rRNA from 1 species
AUUGAACGCUGGCGGCAGGCUUAACACAUGCAAGUCGAGGGUAGCGGCGGGCGGGUGAGUAAGGCUUAGGUAUCUGCCUAUUUGUGGGGGAGAACAUCCCGCUAGGAACGCUAAUACCGCAUACUAAUAGACGAGUCUAAGCCGGUUUACUAGCUGGGGGGGGAAAGGCCUACCAAGGCGACGAUCUGUAGCUGGUCUGAGAGGAUGAUCAGCCACACUGGAACGGAGACACGGUCCAGACGCCUACGGGAGGCAGCAGUGGGGAAUAUUGCACAAUGGGCGCAAGCCUGAUGCAGCCAUGCCGCGUGUGUGAAGAAGGCCUUCGGGUUGUAAAGCACUUUCAGCGGGGAGGCGUUACCCGCAGAAGAAGCACCGGCUAACUCCGGCCAGCAGCCGCGGUAAUUC